rnacentral:rRNA from 1 species
CGGGUUGUAAAGCACUUUCAGUCGUGAGGAAGGUAGUGUAGUUAAUAGCUGCAUUAUUUGACGUUAGCGACAGAAGAAAGCACCGGCUAACUCCGUACCAGCAGCCGCGGUAAUACGGAGGGUGCGAGCGUUAAUCGGAAUUACUGGGCGUAAAGCGCAUGCAGGUGGUUUGUUAAGUCAGAUGUGAAAGACCCGGGGCGUCAACCUCGGAAUAGCAUUUGAAACUAGGCAGACUAGAGUACUGUAGAGGGGGGUAGGAAUUUCAGGUGUAGCGGUGAAAUGCGUAGAGAUCUGAAGGAAUACCGGUGGCGAAGGCGGCCCCCUCGGACAGAUACUGACACUCAGAUGCGAAAGCGUGGGGAGCAAACAGGAUUAGAUACCCUGGUAG